rnacentral:rRNA from 1 species
AUACCGGCCAGAGACCGAUAGCGCACAAGUAGAGUGAUCGAAAGAUGAAAAGUACUUUGAAAAGAGGGUUAAAUAGCACGUGAAAUUGUUGAAAGGGAAGCGUUUAUGACCAGACCUUUGUCAGGCGGAUCAUCCGGUGUUCUUCACCGGUGCACUUCGCCUGGCUCAGGCCAGCAUUGAUUUCUGUAGGGGGAUAAAGACCAUGGGAACGUAGCUCUCUUCGGGGAGUGUUAUAGCCCUAGGUGUAAUACCCUUACGGGGAUCGAGGUUCGCGCUUCUGCAAGGAUGCUGGCGUAAUGGUCAUCAAUGACCCGUCUUGAAACACGGACC